GACGAACGCUGGCGGCGUGCUUAACACAUGCAAGUCGAACGGAAAGGCCCUGCUUUUGUGGGGUGCUCGAGUGGCGAACGGGUGAGUAACACGUGAGUAACCUGCCCUUGACUUUGGGAUAACUUCAGGCAACUGGGGCUAAUACCGGAUAGGAGCUCCUGCUGCAUGGUGGGGGUUGGAAAGUUUCGGCGGUUGGGGAUGGACUCGCGGCUUAUCAGCUUGUUGGUGGGGUAGUGGCUUACCAAGGCUUUGAGGGGUAGCCGGCCUGAGAGGGUGACCGGCCAAAUCGGGACUGGGAUGCGGCACAGACUCCUACGGGAGGCAGCAGUGGAGAAUAGUGCACAAUGGGCGGAAGCCUGAUGCAGCAACGCCGCGUGGGGGAUGACGGCCUGGGGGUUGUAAACCGCUUUCGCCUGUGACGAAGCGUGAGUGACGGUAAUGGGUAAAGAAGCACCGGCUAACUACGUG
rnacentral:rRNA from 1 species